rnacentral:rRNA from 1 species
GUGCCAGCCGCCGCGGUAAUACGUAGGAAGCAAGCGUUAUCCGGAUUUAUUGGGCGUAAAGAGGGUGUAGGCGGUUUUGCAAGUCGGAUGUCAAAUCUCCCGGCUCAACUGGGAGAGAUCAUUUGAAACUGCGAGACUAGAGGAUAGCAGAGGGAAACGGAAUUCCCGGUGUAGUGGUGAAAUGCGUAGAUAUCGGGAGGAACACCAGUGGCGAAAGCGGUUUCCUGGGCUAUAACUGACGCUGAGACCCGAAAGCGUGGGGAGCGAACAGGAUUAGAUACCCUGGUAGUCCACGCUAUAAACGAUGGAUACUAGGUAUGGGGAGUAUCGACCCUCUCCGUGCCGCAGCUAACGCUUUAAGUAUCCCGCCUGGGGACUACGGCCGCAAGGCUAAA